GUGGUCUACAUAUCUCAUAAAGCCUAUACAUACGCUUGUACUCUGAGUAGGCCUCUCUGUUAUAACUGGUUUAUAUUAAAGGAUAAAGAUAUUGUGAGUCGGAAUCAGAUAACCAUGCAAAGAACACAUUUUACUCCCGAAUUGAAAGGCAG